UACGUAGGGAGCGAGCGUUGUCCGGAAUUACUGGGUGUAAAGGGAGCGUAGGCGGGCGAGAAAGUUGAAUGUUAAAUCUACCGGCUUAACUGGUAGCUGCGUUCAAAACUUCUUGUCUCGAGUGAAGUAGAGGCAGGCGGAAUUCCUAGUGUAGCGGUGAAAUGCGUAGAUAUUAGGAGGAACACCAGUGGCGAAGGCGGCCUGCUGGGCUUUAACUGACGCUGAGGCUCGAAAGCGUGGGGAGCAAACAGG
rnacentral:rRNA from 1 species